UGUAUGGUCUGCCAUACCGAUCUAAAUGUGGCCUGAAAAACUUGCAACACAUGCAAGAAAGAACAGCAAAACAAAUGCAAAACAAAAUCGGACUACCUCUCAUAUACAGGAUGAAGCUGUGUUGUUGCUCGAAAAAUUGCAGGCCCUGGGGUUAAGGGGGGUUUUACUUCUCUCCAAGCCUGGAAAAAAGCCAAACAAUUGGGUGUCUGAGGUUUUGGCACCCCGCUGCCAGCUGAGUGAGACAUCACAUACAUGCCUUGAACGAAUUAAGGGCAUGUAUGAUAUUGUUAUUCAAGGCUGGACCCCACAUGUAAUUGAAAGUUCAUCAGCCCCAGUUGAACCCCCAACAGGAC